rnacentral:tRNA from 1 species
GUUUCCGUGGUGUAGUGGUUAUCACAUCCGCCUAACUCGCGGAAGGCCCCCGGUUCAAUCCCGGGCGGAAACA